rnacentral:rRNA from 1 species
CCUACGUGUGGCAGCAGUGGGGAAUAUUGGGCAAUGGACGCAAGUCUGACCCAGCAACGCCGCGUGAAGGAAGAAGGCUUUCGGGUUGUAAACUUCUUUUAAGGGGGAAGAGCAGAAGACGGUACCCCUUUAAUAAGCUACGGCUAACUACGUUCCAGAAGCCGCGGUAAUACGUAGGUGGCAAGCGGUGUCCGGAUUUACUGGGUGUAAAGGGCGUGCAGCCGGAGAGACAAGUCAGAUGUGAAAUCCACGGGCUCAAACCGUGAAAUGCAUUUGAAACUGUUUCCGUUGAGUGUCUGAGAGGGAAUCGGAAUUCCUAGUGUAGCGGUGAAAUGCGUAGAUAUUAGGAAGAACACCAGUGGAGAAGGCGGAUUACUGGACGAUAACUGACGGUGAGGCGCGAAAGCGUGGGGAGCAAACAGGAUUAGAUACCCCAGUAGUC